AACGAACGCUGGCGGCGCGCCUAACACAUGCAAGUCGAGCGCCUCACCUUCGGGUGGGGAGCGGCGCACGGGUGAGUAACGCGUGGGAAUCUACCCUAGGGUUCGGGACAACGGCGGGAAACUGCCGCUAACACCGGAUACGGCCUAUUGGGCGAAAGUUCACGCCCUGGGAUGAGCCCGCGUCCGAUUAGCUAGUUGGUGGGGUAACGGCCCACCAAGGCUGCGAUCGGUAGCCGGUCUGAGAGGAUGAUCGGCCACACUGGGACUGAGACACGGCCCAGACUCCUACGGGAGGCAGCAGUGGGGAAUCUUGGACAAUGGGGGCAACCCUGAUCCAGCGACGCCGCGUGGGUGAUGAAGGCCUUCGGGUUGUAAAGCCCUUUUGCCGGGGACGAUGAUGACGGUACCCGGCGAAUAAGCACCGGCUAACUCCGUGCCAGCCGCCGCAGUAACAC
rnacentral:rRNA from 1 species